rnacentral:rRNA from 1 species
GACAGAGGCCCCGAGCGUUAGGCGGAAUCACUGGGCUUAAAGCGUGUGUAGGCGGAUCGUUAAGUGUCUUGUGAAAUCCCACGGCUCACCCGUGGAACUGCUGGGCAUACUGGCGAUCUUGGGCCAUUCAGGGGCGACUGGAACAAGCGGUGGAGCGGUGAAAUGCGUAGAUAUCGCUUGGAACGCCAAAGGUGAAAACAGGUCGCUGGGGAUGUGCCGACGCUGAGACACGAAAGCCAGGGGAGCAAACGGGAUUAGAUACCCCGGUAGUCCUGGCCCUAAACGAUGUCCACUAGAUUGCGGCGCCUUUGACGGCGUCGCGGUCGAAGCAAAAGUGUUAAGUGGACCGCCUGGGAAGUACGGUCGCAAGGCUAAA